GACGAACGCUGGCGGCGUGCUUAACACAUGCAAGUCGAACGGAAAGGCCCUGCUUUUGUGGGGUGCUCGAGUGGCGAACGGGUGAGUAACACGUGAGUAACCUGCCCUUGACUUUGGGAUAACUUCAGGAAACUGGGGCUAAUACCGGAUAGGAGCUCCUGCUGCAUGGUGGGGGUUGGAAAGUUUCGGCGGUUGGGGAUGGACUCGCGGCUUAUCAGCUUGUUGGUGGGGUAGUGGCUUACCAAGGCUUUGACGGGUAGCCGGCCUGAGAGGGUGACCGGCCACAUUGGGACUGAGAGACGGCCCAGACUCGUACGGGAGGCAGAAGUGGGGAAUAUUGCACAGUGGGCGGAAGCCUGAUGCAGCAACGCCGCGUUCGUGAUAACGUCCUUCGGGUUGUAAACCGCUUUCGCCUGUAACGAAGCGUGAGUGACGGUAAUGGGUAAGGAAGCAACGGCUAACUACGUG
rnacentral:rRNA from 1 species